CACAUGCAAGUCGAGGGGUAACAGGGAUUGCUUGCAAUCCGCUGACGACCGGCGCACGGGUGCGUAACGCGUAUGCAACUUACCUUUUACUGGGGGAUAGUCAAGAGAAAUUUUGAAUAAUACCCCAUACGAUCUAACUCACUCCUGUGAGAUGGAAGAAAAUUACGGUGGUAAAAGAUAGGCAUGCGUCCUAUUAGUUUGUUGGUGAGGUAACGGCUCACCAAGACUACGAUAGGUAGGGGUCCUGAGAGGGAGAUCCCCCACACUGGUACUGAGACACGGACCAGACUCCUACGGGAGGCAGCAGUGAGGAAUAUUGGACAAUGGAGGCAACUCUGAUCCAGCCAUGCCGCGUGCAGGAAGACGGCCCUAUGGGUUGUAAACUGCUUUUAUACAGGAAGAAACGUUAGUACGUGUACUAGCCUGACGGUACUGUAAGAAUAAGGAUCGGC
rnacentral:rRNA from 1 species